CGGCCUCCCAAAGUGCUGGGAUUACAGGCGUGAGCCACCGCGCCCGGCCAAGUAAACUCUUAAAAGCUCAUUUAUGAGGGCUGGUGUCCCUUUUAGGAUAUAUGGGUAUGUACUCUGUAAAUUUUGUUUUUAGCAGUCAGGUACUUUUAAAUUAUCUAUUUGAACAUUAACAGGGUUUUUUUUUGUUGUUCAUCUUUUAUGGCAAAUUAUUUUGACUUGGCAUUCAUAUUUGUUAUUUACUUUGUUUUCACCAGUAUAAUUCCAUGGCCUCAGUUUUGAAAUGCAAGCUAUUAAGCCCAGCUUGUUUUUAGGUUUUGUUAAUAGGGUUUUCUGUUUCAUUUGUUUUGAUUGUUUGAUAGGUUUUUUGUUGUUGUUGUUAAUUAUCCCUGACUGCUUCCCUACUGCCCAGGUAUCUUAACAACUUAAUCUGGUGGUGUUGGAUGGCUUGCCUUCUUCAGUUACGUAUAUGCCUAUGGCUUUAUACAUAUGGCACUAUCUCUAAAAUACCAGGCUUGCAGAGGUUUUCUUCUGCAUGUUCUUUAACUUUUUAACAGAAUUCUUCAUUGUGAAGAUUAUCUUUAAGAACAGUUUUUCUGAAGACCAUGUUUUCACUAAAAACUCAAUGACUUUUCUUAGUUUUUCCGUUUAGUGGGUCACCUUUAAUGUCCAUUGAAAAGAAAUAUAACUUCCAGCCUUAAACAUUUUUAUGUUUCUUAAAGAUUAUGUGUCAAAAUAAUUCAAUUUGCCAUUCCUUUUUCAUUAGGCAGAGAUGCUGCUUAAAUGUUUAAAUUAUUUUUUAAAAACUUUGCUAAUAAAAGUAAAAUCAGUGAUUGAGUCUGGAAAAGGGAAACCUCCCUGAACUUGAGGCACUUUCCCCUCGUUCAGUAAAGAGGUUAGAUGGAUGUAUUAAUAUUUUUAAACACCCUGAUCCUUUUCUUCAUUUUGCUUAUUUCAUUUUGCAGUUUCAUAUUUAUUCAGAUUUUAUUUUUAUGAUUAACUUGUUAAUCUUCUUUACCAUGCUGUGAGGUGGGUUUUUUUAUUCUUAUAUUACAGAUGAGGAAACUGACUUUAUGACAUUGGUUAAGUAGCUUAUCCAGAGUUCAGACUAAUGAGUUGUGGUAUAAAGAUUUCAAACUCAUGCAGCCUGCCUCUGUGUUGUUCCAUGCUCUUAACCACUAUUCUGUGCUGCUUCUGAUAUAACAUGGGCAUAUAGCAUGGAAAACUCUUAAUGUGUUUGGUAACCAGGAACAAUUUUUUUGUUGUGUUAGUAAAGUUAUAAAAUUAUGUAGUAAUUUUGCCUGGAUGGUUUUGGAUAUAAUAGCCAAUUCAUCACUUGUGAUUUGAUGACUCUUAGGGUCUCUAGUUUUUCUUAACAGCCUCCAAAUUGAAGUUUCAGAAUCCUUACUGCAAAAAGCACAAAAGUUUUCAUUGCCAUUUUGAUAGUGAUAUGUAGCUCGUAAAUAAUAAUUCUUACCUCUGUGUUAGAUAAAACAUCCAGUAAAACAGCAUCAAGUUUAGCUUUGAUAGAAGGGAACAAUUAGAGUUGGUGUAGAGACAGACCAGUUAGGAUGAGGGCAUGAAAUACAGCAGAAGCAGUAGGAAGAGAAGAGAGACUGAGGAUCUUGAAUUAGGGUCUAGAUGAAAAUUUAGGAUGAUUCCUAGGUUUGGGAAUGGAGGGAGAGCUUAAACAAGAUAGAGAAUAUAGACACAGAUUUUGGAGGAAAUGAUUUUCUCAAGGGACUGCUGAGUCCAAGGAAUGUUUACAAAUCCUCAAGAAGUACUCCAGGCUAUUUGUAAGAUCUGAGGCUCAUAGGCCUUUUCUGGCUCUCAGGAUUUAGAGUCGUAAUAGGCAGUAAUGUAAAUUCACUAGCUAACUUUGAGGUUGCAACAUUCAUAGCACUCUGAACUUUGAGGGCAUCUUGUUUUAAUUCAAAAAACUGGUAAUCCCUGCUUUUGAUUGUGAUGUAAGUAGCAGUACACAAGCAUGGGAAUAAGUAAAUCCAAUAAAGGAGUAUUUAGGCUCACCUGCUAAAUACUCAGUGUGCCACCCAAACCAUCUGUAAUGGGUCCCCUUAUUGAAAACAUUCUUUUUCCAGAAUGGGCAAGGAAGGCUGGAUGGGCAAAAGCAAAAUAAAUGUACCACAGACCCUUGAUUCUGUUAGUAUCAGUGAUAAAACAUGAUUGAUAAAACUAGGCAUGAUACAUUCUUAAGGUACAGAAAAAUGUGGAAAUUGUGUCAAGAAAAUUCACAAAUUUUAAAUGGUUCUUUAGGCUGAUAGUAAUAAAUGGGAUCAUUAUAAUUUUAUGUAAAACCUUCAAAGGCUUCCUACUAAAGAAAGCUGAAUUCCAGUAACAGAUUGAGCCCAGACUACUCAGUUCAUAUUUGAGGCCAACUUAGACUAUUUUUGAUGCCUUAAAGAUUCCUUCAAGUCCCCUUUCUCUUUCUACCAUACCCCCAGUAAAGCUACUUAAAAUCCUCUGUAGGAAAGAGCUGAGUAAUUGGGGGCAGAGAUGGAGGACAAAUUUAAGGGAACAGAAAGCCAUUGGGAAGACAAAUGAAAGCCAGAAUCUGAAGAUAAUUUUAAAACCUUCAGGGAAAGUAGGUGUCUAAUCACAGGACUUAAUUCACUUGAGUAGAAAUUUGUAAUUUAGCCAUAGGAAUUUAGGAAGUGUUAGUUACAAGAGGUAACUUGAAGCUGUGGACAUGAUGAUAGCUUUUGUUGCAUAAUUAGAAUGUGCCAAACACUUUGCUAAGUGCUUAUGAUAGCUUUUCUCUUCAGAACAUCACCAUGAUUAUUUACAGUAUAACCUGUAUUUUACAGAUGGAGAAAUGUAGGCAAAGGAAAGGGGCAUAACUUGCCUCCAGGGUCACAUAGAUAGCAAAUGAUGAAAUUUAAUUUUAAAAUUAGAAACUGAUUCCAAAGUCCUUACACUCUUAACCAUGAAACUGAAGACAUCUAAGUCACCACGCAAAACCCAGAAUCUAAAUGGCCAUUUAUUAGUGCUUAUUCCUUUAUUUCCUAAUAUUAAUUAAAUGACUUAAUUACCAUGAGAAGAUAAUGUGCUUUCAGUUUUCGCAGUAGUUAGUUCAGCCAUUGAUUUUCUUACUAAGAACCUCUAAAAGGCCAAUGGGCAGUUGACAAAAAUUAGGGAUGGAUUCUGCAGCUGUAAGACCAAGUGAAAGUAAAAGGCCCAUGGCGGUAAAUUUGUCCCUUGCAGGCAGUUUGUUCUAAAUGCUUGUGCCUAGAAAUAAACUUAGCCUUAUUAUCAUCUGGACUCUGAGCAAUUUUUGCAUCUCAGUAUUCUUAGAUGUGGAUGAUUAAAAGGCCACGUAUGAAGGCAGCUAACAUAAGACACUUUGUGGGAGUGAGAUAAUUCAUUAAAAUCAAAUAUUAGUGUAUUAGGCAAACAAAUUCAAUCAUUUCAGUUAUGUAAAGCUAGCUGGGUUCUCAGUUUUAGCAAGUUAGGGAAGAUAUCACAUUACAGGAGAAAGACAAUCUAAAAGUUUUUGAAGUUUUAAUGGAUUUAACCACUUGUAAAAUGUUAUAAAUUGUAGGACACUUCUCCCAGAGAGAUCCUCUAGCAUACAUGGAUGAUUUACUUUUCAUAUUUAUGAUUUGGCAGGAAAGUUUGAGUUCAUUUGAAGUUAGGCUUUUUAAUAGUUUUUCUCCUCCCAGUGAAUUUUUCUGAGUUGAUAGGUGUAAAAUUUAUAGAUUUUAUUGAUAAUAAAAGUUUGUAAGCAUCUUUAAUGUAGCGAUUCCAUUGCUUAUUUUUUAUUCAGCACUCAGGUCACUUCCUAUGUGCUGGAGAUAAUUAAAGACUCCACUUCCAAGAAAGGAUACAACAAGGAAAAUAAGAGGUUGUUAAAUAAAAAUUAUGCCAAAGAUAAGCCUGUAGAAAGCUUCUGUGGUGCGUAUUUGGUAGAUUUUAUGGAUGGAUUUCGUGAAGGAUAAAUAGCAGAGUCCUGAGGGGGGAAAAAAGGAUAGAAGUGGCCAAAUACAAGAGAGGAAAUGGGAGAAAGAAUAGGAUAUGAAGAAGCCUGGCAUUGAGAGGUGGUAUUGGCCUGUUAAGAAAACUUGUUUGCCUAGCCCCUAAGUUCUAGUCUCACUCAGUAUUGGGUUUAGGGCUCCUCUAGAUUCUAGUACAUCAUGAUAGAUCAUGCAGUCAGUAAAAGUCCUGCUGAUUUUCCCCAGUAAAGUGCUUUAGUCCACACAAAGCCUGAUCUUUAAUCCAUGCCUAGAAUUGGCAAAUGAUGCCAGGAAAGAAAACAGUUGGUAGUCUCAGCUAUGUAGAAAAGACAAAGACUUUUAGUACAUCUAGUCUUAAGCGCUUCCACAGCUCUUUCGUAUCUGUAAUGUAUUUUGCAUUUGAUCCAUUUUUUCCUAGUUACUGCACCUGGGAGCGACUGCCAGUACUACCACAUCAUUUCGGUAGUGGAGGUCCCCAUUGAAGGUUUUUUUCAUAGCACAUAGCAUGAUCACGUCUAGGAAGAUCGUUCUGGCUGUAGAUAGUAUAAUUAUCUACUAAUACAAAGGGGGAAAGGACGUGAGAUGAUGUGAAAGGAAGUUUUGCAUCAUUUACUUGAAAGAUACUGUUCUUCUGAAUUUAAUCACAUUGGGGAUUGGAAAAAGUAGAUGAAUAAAAAUUAAAAAGAAAAAAACAAAUGAGUUCAUGAAGUUAAGCAAUUAAAGAAAAAGACAAAUCUAAUACAGUACUGUAAUUAUUUCAAAGGUUACUAUUUUACCCUAAACUCAUUUCUAUACUUGAAAGUUCAAGGAUCGAUUGAUAUUUUUGAAAUUCUGAACUAAAUGGAAAUAUUAAGAUGGCUCAUGUGUGCAUAUAUAAAUGUUAUUUGUAUCCUCAGAAUAAACUAAUAAAUUUCAAGGGUACAAAAUAGGAUUACUAUUUGUGAACUGUAUUGUAUCCCAGAACUCUGUACUUUUGUCUGUUCAAAAUGAAAACAGUAGUUAUUAUAUUAUUUUAACCCUUAUAAAAGGGAAUAUGAUGUAAAAAAUUUUAGCAAUUCAGUACAGAGUACAAGUCACAUAAAAGUCUACCACCGAAAUGCAAGCACUAUUUGUAUUUUGUUUGAUAUUCAUAUAUUUAGUUUUAUCACUUUUUUUAACCAGUAAGUCAUGGACAACUUACUAUAUAAGUGAAAAAUGUAUAUAUGAUCAUUGUAUGAUCAUUUUUAUAUUAUACUAUAAUCAAUUCUCCAUUGAUAUUUAGCUUGUGAUUUUUUUUUUUUACUAUUUUUUACUGUGAUAAAAAAUGCUGUGGUAAACACCUUUGUGUCACAUACAUUGUCAUUCUGUCCAGUUUUCUCUAUAGAAACCAAUUUUUAGAAUUUCUUGGUUAAAGUAUAUACAUUUCACGUGCUUUUUUACUAGUUUUUAUAUUAGACAACUUCUGAUUAAACAUUUAGUUUAAAUGAUUAAAAGUAUGGCAUUACAAUAAGAAUUUAUGGCUUAUUUGAUUUUAAAAGUAGGUCUUAAAACAGGCAAUAUACUGUGACAAGCAAAAUAUUUCCAUGUCAUUAUUUCGUAAGUAUCCUUAAGAGGAACAGUAUCUCUCUCAGGACUUGGACCAAGGAAUGAGAUCAAAGGGGAAUAAUGAUUAGCAGCUUAAUUCAGCUGAUCUCAAAUGCUUAGGGGAAAAGUUUUUUUAAAAAGUUCAAACAUAUGCCCUAUUUAACAUGUGAUAACACAUAUUCUAUAUUAAAUAUCCUGAAUUGAUUAUAGUGCAUGCCACACAAUCACUUGUUCUGUUGCUAACAAUCAGAUAUUGAUUAAAAAUGAUUAAAAAAAACAAGAAUUAAAGGAAAAAUUAAAUUGCAAUAAUUACUAUUUUACUCCAAACUCAUAUUUCAGACCAAAUAUGCUGUUCUGGCAGCUCGCAUUUGUCUUCAGGAAAACUACCAGUAGGAAGAACACCCAAGACAUUUCUAAACCUUUGUGCUUUGUCUCCUUUAGAAAUGAUAGAGUUGGAGGGAACUGAUGCCCAGAGAUACGUAGUGAUCUACUCAGUUGGGUAGUAGAUAGUAUGAUUCAUGGGUCUUAAUGCAGUAUAUUUUCUACAACACAGUGCUUCAAGGCAAAAGUUAAAGUGUUAUACUUUGGUAGUGUAGCGUGGUAGUAAAGUUAACUCCCUUUUACAAAAGUCUUAAUUGUGUAUAUUUAUACUUCAUAAAUAGCACACCUUAUUGCCUCUUUAAGCAGAAGGAAUGGAACAUAUUUAAAAGUUACCUUGAUGACAGAGUCAUUGCUAUACUUGCAACUUAUUUUAUUGUGGGGGAUCAGUGAAAUACCCUCUAGUAAUACUGAGAUGUAUAGAAAAUGCCCCUAAACUAAAUGCCCCCACUGUUUUAAGUUAAACUGUAUUGUUGGCCUGGGAGCAAGGGUAAUG
rnacentral:lncRNA from 1 species